GUUCCUCCCCAAUUUCAUCCCACUGUUGCAGAGAAAAGAUUUUGAUCGAGAACAUCGUAUCUCUGCUGAUCAGAAGGAGGGUGUUGGGUUUGCUUUUAAUAGGCUCACUUGAUGUUCUUGAAACCUAGAGAUUAAGAGGGGAUGGAGUUUCAAAUGGAUUCAUUCAGUAUUUCUUCGAGGUUUAAAGGUUCCAUUAGUGGCGGUAGUAAAGGUUUCAGUUUGUAGGUGUAGAGAGUGAUGAGGAGAUAAGAAGAGUUCCAUAAAUGGGUAGUGAAGAACGGGUCCAUCAAUAUCAUGUAAAGGAGGAGGAGGAAGAGAACCCGGUCCAGACAGGGUUCAAGCAUCAACAACAGUAGGUAGUACUCGAACGAAAAGAGGAAGAAGUCCAGCUGACAAAGAAAACAAAAGGAUCAAAAGGUUGCUGAGGAAUAGAGUUUUAACACAAAAAGCAAGAGAAAGAAAGAAGGCUUACUUGACAUAUUUACAAGUGAAAGUGAAAGAGUUAGAGAAGAAUAAUGGGGAACUGGAAGAGAGACUCUCAACUUUGCAAAAUGAGAGUCAGAUGCUUAGACAUGUUGUUGUAAUCAAAUCAUAAGCGACGAGGCGAGGCUAAGCCGAGCUGCACCAAAUAAAAGUUCCUAAGCGUGUAUCGGGACGGGACGAGGCGAAGCCGAGCUACACAAAAUCAAAAAUCCUAAGCAGGAAUCUGGACGGGCGAGGCAAAGUGGUUUUCGGGUCGGCCCGAUGCGUCAACAAAUCUAGUAGUUUAUACUACUGAAAAUUAAUUAUGCCUCGUUCUCAUCUCACUUCUUCUCAUAGUUUUCUCUCUCUUCCUCCACUUUCUUUCUCUCUUUGCUAUAGAAACGGCAAACAAUGGAGUAUUUGAUUUCUCCGCUUUAUGUUCAUCACUAAUUAUCACUCAUAGAUGAUAGUGACUCAUACUACUCAUACAUAUUUUGAGUAUAAAUCUGUUAUGUAAGCAUCAUAAUAGCAACAUCACAUAAGCACCUAUUCGGCACAACAUCAAUUAGAGCAUCAUCAAAUUGGAUACAGAUCUGCUAUUAUGUUCUUAGUUUUAUGAUUAGUUAUUUUUAUGUUGAAGAUUAAUUUUACUCUUCUCUACUUCUAUAA